rnacentral:rRNA from 1 species
GGAAUCUUCCACAAUGGGCGCAAGCCUGAUGGAGCAACACCGCGUGAGUGAAGAAGGGUUUCGGCUCGUAAAGCUCUGUUGUUAAAGAAGAACACGUAUGAGAGUAACUGUUCAUUCGAUGACGGUAUCUAACCAGCAAGUCACGGCUAACUACGUGCCAG